GUAGCACGUCUCCUUGGCCGAGUACGUCCACGGGAACUUGCUCUUCUCGCACCCCCACUUGGGCCACUCGCGGACGCCGAGCUCGGAGAGGCGGGACUCGGGCGGGUUGCGCUCCACACGGACGCCGAGCUUCUCCGUCGCCAUCGCCUCCGACGCCGACGCCCGCACCCGCACCCGCACCCGCACCGCCACCGCGAGCCGCCGCCGCCUUGUUCCCCUCGUCGGUGGUGCACAGGCGCAGCUGAGGCGGCCGGUGGUGGUGGUGUGGAGAUGCGCCGAGGUUGCCACUCCCACCAUUGUUG
rnacentral:misc_RNA from 1 species